rnacentral:rRNA from 1 species
UACGGAGGGGACUAGCGUUGUUCGGAAUUACUGGGCGUAAAGCGCACGUAGGCGGAUUGUUAAGUCAGGGGUGAAAUCCCGAGGCUCAACCUCGGAACUGCCUUUGAUACUGGCAAUCUCGAGUCCGGAAGAGGUGAGUGGAAUUCCUAGUGUAGAGGUGAAAUUCGUAGAUAUUAGGAAGAACACCAGUGGCGAAGGCGGCUCACUGGUCCGGUACUGACGCUGAGGUGCGAAAGCUAGGGGAGCGAAUGGG